AGGCAAACAACAAUCCAUGUGGUCAGAUGGUCCAGGGGUUAGGAAAUCUGAUGAUCAGGGAGUCAAGGAUCAAGACAAGCAGGAAGCAGCAAGGAGACAGACAGAGCUACAUUUCUUCAGAGUAGAAUGCAAGCUUCCCAGAACUGGGAACGGAUGAGUUCUGUUCUCCUCAGAAAGGAUCCUGUUAGCUCUCUUUAGAUGGACUCUCCACUCUCACCCCAGAAAUCUAUUCAACUGACACUUUCUAACGGCCACUUCACCAACAAUCUAGAAGAACCUUCUCAGCCCCUUCCUUCAGGUAGAAUAACAUGGACUGAUUUACACACAUAUCUUACACCAGGGGUUGGCAAGGUUUACCUCGCCUGGGCCAGUUCACUCCAGCAGAGAUCCCUCCGUGGGCCAGAUUGCAUGUGCGCGUGAGCGAGCGUGCCCGCGUUUUUCGGCAUCUGCGCAGAUGCGCUUUCUGGCAUCUGCAUCUGUGCAGACACAAUUUCCAGCACCAUGGAAGCGAGUCCCCAUGCUACGCCGGUUUAGCACAGUGCAUGGGGACUUGGGUUCUGACCAACCUUGGCGUUGGUGGACUGCCAUCAACACAUGCCCAUAGGAGCCACUGCCAAGCUCUCGGAGGACAGUGUAACUCGAAGCCACCUCCACCUGGGGCAGGUUCUGAGAAGUCAACAACACCAUCUCUUCAAGUCGUUUUGCGAUAUCACCAGAGACGAGCUUCAUGGCUGUUCAGGAGGAGAGACAGAAGAGACUUGGGGUGAAUGCAAAAAAGACCACUGACCAACUGCCAAUGUACCCUCCUGCAUGUACACUUUUUUUGUGGGUGCCAGGUGACUAAAAUGCAUAGCAGGAACUGGGGCAGGGGUCACCCUUCUGCAUUGAAGGCAAAAGGCCCAUGAGAAAGAAAUAAUUGGAGAGGCAUUUUUCCUGUGCCUUCCGAAAUAAACAGUAGAUCUGGGAAUA